rnacentral:rRNA from 1 species
CCUACGGGAGGCUGCAGUGAGGAAUAUUGGUCAAUGGCCGGAAGGCUGAACCAGCCAUGCCGCGUGAAGGUCAGUGCCCUAUGGGCGUUAAACUUCUUUUGUUCGGGAGCAAUAAUGUUCACGUGUGGCCAGACGAUAGUACCGUACGAAUAAGCAUCGGCUAACUCCGUGCCAGCAGCCGCGGUAAUACGGGGGAUGCAAGCGUUAUCCGGAUUUAUUGGGUUUAAAGGGUGCGUAGGCUGUGAGGUAAGUCAGCGUUGAAAUGCCCCCGCUCAACGGGGUGAAGUGCCAUUGAUACUGCCUUGCGGGAAGGCGGAUGUCGUGGGAGGAAUGUGUGGUGUAGCGGUG